GAUGAACGCUGGCGGCGUGCCUAAUACAUGCAAGUCGAGCGAAUGGAUUAAGAGCUUGCUCUUAUGAAGUUAGCGGCGGACGGGUGAGUAACACGUGGGUAACCUGCCCAUAAGACUGGGAUAACUCCGGGAAACCGGGGCUAAUCCCGGAUAACAUUUUGAACCGCAUGGUUCGAAAUUGAAAGGCGGCCUCGGCUGUCACUUAUGGAUGGAUCCGCGUCGCAUUAGCUAGUUGGUGAGGUAACGGCCAACCAAGGCAACGAUGCGUAGCCGACCUGGGAGGGUGAUCGGCCACACAGGGACUGAGACACGGCCCAGACUCCUACGGGAGGCAGCAGUAGGGAAUCUUCCGCAAUGGACGAAAGUCUGACGGAGCAACGCCGCGUGAGUGAUGAAGGCUUUCGGGUCGUAAAACUCUGUUGUUAGGGAAGAACAAGUGCUAGUUGAAUAAGCUGGCACCUUGACGGUACCUAACCAGAAAGCCACGGCUAACUACGUGCCAGCCGCCGCCGUAA
rnacentral:rRNA from 1 species